rnacentral:rRNA from 1 species
UUGGCCCUACGGGGGGCAGCAGUGGGGGAUAUUGCACAAUGGGGGAAACCCUGAUGCAGCGACGCCGCGUGGGUGAAGAAGCGCCUCGGCGCGUAAAGCCCUAUCGGCAGGGAAGAAGAUGACGGUACCUGACCAAGAAGCCCCGGCUAACUACGUGCCAGCAGCCGCGGUAAUACGUAGGGGGCAAGCGCUAUCCGGAUUUACUGGGUGUAAAGGGGGCGCAGACGGCAAUGCAAGCCAGGAGUGAAAGCCCGGGGCCCAACCCC